UGUGGGAGCGGGCUUGCCCGCGAUAGCGCAAUGUCAGUCAACGAAUGUGUUGAAUGUGACGCCGUCAUCGCGGGCAAGCCCGCUCCCACU
rnacentral:misc_RNA from 1 species